rnacentral:ncRNA from 2 species
UGAUAGCUUGCCGGGGCCAGUCGAACCCACACGUGCGUGGGUCAGGGAAUCCGGUGCGAAUCCGGAACUGACGCGCAGCGGUAAGGGGGACGGGCGGGGCAUCAGCCACUGGACCACGAUCACGGUCCGGGAAGGCGCCUCGUCCGGGUGAUCCCGAGUCCGAAGACCUGCUGGCGGCCUCCGCGCCCG